rnacentral:rRNA from 1 species
CCUACGGGAGGCAGCAGUGGGGAAUAUUGGACAAUGGGGGCAACCCUGAUCCAGCCAUGCCGCGUGUGUGAAGAAGGCCCUCGGGUUGUAAAGCACUUUCAGUGAGGAAGAACGCCUGGUGGUUAAUACCCAUCAGGAAAGACAUCACUCACAGAAGAAGCACCGGCUAACUCCGUGCCAGCAGCCGCGGUAAUACGGAGGGUGCGAGCGUUAAUCGGAAUUACUGGGCGUAAAGCGCGCGUAGGUGGCUUGAUAAGCCGGUUGUGAAAGCCCCGGGCUCAACCUGGGAACGGCAUCCGGAACUGUCAAGCUAGAGUGCAGGAGAGGAAGGUAGAAUUCCCGGUGUAGCGGUGAAAUGCGUAGAGAUCGGGAGGAAUACCAGUGGCGAAGGCGGCCUUCUGGACUGACACUGACACUGAGGUGCGAAAGCGUGGGUAGCAAACAGGAUUAGCUACCCCUGUAGUC